UCCCCAACCCGGUCCAUUUCACCCAUCCCUCUAUUUUUCAUAUUUUUCACUUCACUCAACCAAACAACCCAAACCCUAAAUCUUCUAGCCGUCACAUCUUACACCCAACCCCCUCUCUUCAUCUUCUCCAAACACACCCUCAAACCCUAAACCACCAAGCUCCAAACCCCUCCAACCAUGACUGCCCUUCCCGUCAUCUUCCUCAUCGUCACGAAACGACCCUUCCGUCGACAAACAGCCAUUGCUGCUGCCUCACGUCCACCUUCAACCAAUCACCACCUCCGACGUCAGCCAACCCCGUCCCAAACAGUCCUCACGGACCAGACCACCAAGCGACCAUCCAGCCUUCACGUUCUCCCUCACGACGUGAACCAAACCAAACGGACCCCACAUCUCCGCCUCACUUGCGAUAAUAAAUAGCCCCCAACGUCCAGCAACACCCUAGUCUUCAUCUUGCUGUUUUUUUCUUUAACUUGAGGAACGAAGGGUGGCUUAAAUGCCAAAGUAACGAAUUAAUCUCAUACUGGAGUGAGGCUUGGACGAAAUUUGUUUAUAAAUGAAGUGAUUUAUUUCUGCUUCCUCUCGUUUUGGUCUUAAGGUAGAAGGCAACAGUCAUGAUAACUGUCGAAACAUGUUUCUGCCAAGUGGUAUCGAAAUCGGGCUGUCAAGGGUCGUGUGAGAUCGUAGUCUGAGUUGUGUGGGCAGAUUCUAGUUAUUAUGGGUUCAAAAUUUCCGGAGUUUUUGUUCGAGUUCGUCGUUGUUUCGAUCCGGUUAGUUGGUUUAAAUUUCAUUUCUGUCCGUAUUUUGUUUGAUAUUCUCAGAUCUAAAAAUCAGUAUGUUAUUUUCUUGUCAAUUUCUUGAUUAUUUCUUCAGUUUGUUUGAUAAAUAUAUUCGUGUUUAGUUUUAAUAUAGAAAUAUUUUAGUUUAAUCACUUGAAUUUUUAUCUUGAUUAUAAUGUUGCUAGAUUUAAUUUAAAGUUCAACUGAUUAUUGAGUUUAAUGAGUUGAAUCUGUUUUAUUGUUAUGGUAAAUCUAAAUUUGGAUCUGAGUUAGAGAUUUGUAUUUAUUUGUUUGAUCUUUUAAGUUUAAUUUGAAUGUGAUUCAGUGAUUGGAGUCUACUUGUUUGUUAUGUUCAAUUUUUUUAUUGUUGUUGAAUGCGAAAGUAUGCUUGUUAAGAAUGUUGUUCAAAAUAAUUUCAGUUGAUUAUUUGCUGUUCAUCAUUUAGUUUGAAUUGUUGUUAAAUUUGAUCAGGAAUUUGGUUAUAGCUGUAGUAAAUUGGUAUUUUUUUAAAAUUUUGGUGCAGAUUGUAGGGAUGGAGUGGAAUGUGAAUUUCAGUAAUGUGGGGGUAUUUUGGAAAUUGAUUAAAUGUGGGCCCAUAACUUUUAAUUAAAAUAAGAGGGGACAAG
rnacentral:lncRNA from 1 species